AGCUGCCUUUAUCUUUCCAACUGAAGUGCUAACUUCCAGCCUCUGCUCUCAGAUCUCCUGUUUGCUUUUGCUUCGGGAAUUUGAAUAUGAUACACUGAGCGUGUGGGGUAUUGUUGUCUCCCCCUUCGGAAUGUAUCCAGCUAUCUCCAUGCUUCUUGGAUCUGGGUUAGG